AUACGUAGGGGGCGAGCGUUGUCCGGAAUGAUUGGGCGUAAAGGGCGCGUAGGCGGCCCGGUAAGUCUGGAGUGAAAGUCCUGUUUUUAAGAUGGGAAUUGCUUUGGAUACUGUCGGGCUUGAGUGCAGGAGAGGUAAGUGGAAUUCCCAGUGUAGCGGUGAAAUGCGUAGAGAUUGGGAGGAACACCAGUGGCGAAGGCGACUUACUGGACUGUAACUGACGCUGAGGCGCGAAAGUGUGGGGAGCAAACAGGAUUAGAUACCCCGGUAGUCCACACUGUAAACGAUGAAUGCUAGGUGUAGGGGGUAUCGACCCCUUCUGUGCCGCAGUCAACACAAUAAGCAUUCCGCCUGGGGAGUACGGCCGCAAGGUUGAAACUCAAAUGAAUUGACGGGG
rnacentral:rRNA from 1 species